rnacentral:misc_RNA from 1 species
AUAUUAAUAUGUGUUCAACACCGUACGAUGACAGGUUUUGUGUGGUGAAAAAAGAAGACGUAGGAGACCAAAGGCCUGCCACAACAGAAUCCGAGGUUCGCAUCGAAUACUGAUGGCGGACCAUUUGAAUGGUCGACUACAAUAAGUUGCACACUGAGGCGCACGACAUUCGGUAAUGAUCCUUCCGCAGGUUCACCUACGGAAA